rnacentral:rRNA from 1 species
UAACGAAUCUUCCGCAAUGCACGAAAGUGUGACGGAGCGACGCCGCGUGGAGGACGAAGUUCUUCGGAAUGUAAACUCCUGUCAGGGGAAAGAAAGUUCUGAUCUACCCCAGAGGAAGAGGCGGCUAACUCUGUGCCAGCAGCCACGGUAAUACAGAGGCCUCGAGCGUUAGACGGAAUCACUGGGCCUAAAGCGUGUGUAGGCGGAAGGGUAAGUACCUUGUGAAAUCCCACGGCUUAACCGUGGAACGGCUUGGUAUACUGCUUUUCUUGAGCAAUCUAGGGGCGAGUGGAACAGAUGGUGGAGCGGUGAAAUGCGUAGAUAUCAUCUGGAACGCCAAUGGUGAAGACAACUCGCUGGGGAUUUGCUGACGCUGAGACACGAAAGCCAGGGGAGCGAACGGGAUUAGAUACCCAUGUAGUCCCUGAGCGGGCUGGCAAGGCGCAU